AGUGAACGCUGGCGGUAGGCCUAACACAUGCAAGUCGAACGGCAGCACAGUAAGAGCUUGCUCUUACGGGUGGCGAGUGGCGGACGGGUGAGGAAUACAUCGGAAUCUACCUUUUCGUGGGGGAUAACGUAGGGAAACUUACGCUAAUACCGCAUACGACCUACGGGUGAAAGCAGGGGAUCUUCGGACCUUGCGCGAUUGAAUGAGCCGAUGUCGGAUUAGCUAGUUGGCGGGGUAAAGGCCCACCAAGGCGACGAUCCGUAGCUGGUCUGAGAGGAUGAUCAGCCACACUGGAACUGAGACACGGUCCAGACUCCUACGGGAGGCAGCAGUGGGGAAUAUUGGACAAUGGGCGCAAGCCUGAUCCAGCCAUACCGCGUGGGUGAAGAAGGCCUUCGGGUUGUAAAGCCCUUUUGUUGGGAAAGAAAAGCGGCAGGUUAAUACCCCGCUGUUCUGACGGUACCCAAAGAAUAAGCACCGGCUAACUUCGUG
rnacentral:rRNA from 1 species